rnacentral:rRNA from 1 species
GACGAACGCUGGCGGCGUGCUUAACACAUGCCAGUCGAGCGAGGCCCCUCCUUCGGGAGGGUGUCCUAGCGGCGAACGGGUGAGUAACACGUGGGCAACCUGCCCUCAGCUCUGGGAUAACUCCGGGAAACCGGGGCUAAUACCGGAUACGACCUCCACGGGCAUCUGCGGAGGUGGAAGGUUUUUCGGCUGAGGAUGGGCCCGCGGCCUAUCAGCUAGUUGGUGGGGUAGUGGCCCACCAAGGCGACGACGGGUAGCCGGCCUGAGAGGGCGACCGGCCACACUGGGACUGAGACACGGCCCAGACUCCUACGGGAGGCAGCAGUGGGGAAUAUUGCGCAAUGGGCGAAAGCCUGACGCAGCGACGCCGCGUGAGGGACGAAGGCCUUCGGGUUGUAAACCUCUUUCAGCAGGGACGAAGCGAAAGUGACGGUACCUGCAGAAGAAGCACCGGCCAACUACGUG